GGGGUUGUGGCUUAGCAGUAGAGCAUUUGCCUUGCACGCAAGAGACCCUGGGUUCCAUCCUCAGCACCA
rnacentral:tRNA from 1 species